CCAGACUCCUACGGGAGGCAGCAGUGGGGAAUAUUGCACAAUGGGGGAAACCCUGAUGCAGCAACGCCGCGUGGGUGAAGGAGCGUUUCGGCGCGUAAAGCCCUGUCAGCGGGGAAGAAGAAAGACGGUACCCGACCAAGAAGCCCCGGCUAACUACGUGCCAGCAGCCGCGGUAAUACGUAGGGGGCAAGCGUUAUCCGGAUUUACUGGGUGUAAAGGGGGCGCAGACGGCGAUGCAAGCCAGGAGUGAAAGCCCGGGGCUCAACUCCGGGACUGCUUUUGAAACUGUGUAACUGGAGUGCAGGAGAGGUAAGCGGAAUUCCUAGUGUAGCGGUGAAAUGCGUAGAUAUUAGGAGGAACACCAGUGGCGAAGGCGGCUUACUGGACUGUAACUGACGUUGAGGCUCGAAAGCGUGGGGAGCAAACAGGAUUAGAUACCCGUGUAU
rnacentral:rRNA from 1 species